GUUGGAUACGGCGAUAUGACGCCGCAUACAGCACUUGGACGACUGGUUGGAAGUUUAUGUGCUGUUAUGGGUGUGUUAACCAUUGCAUUGCCAGUUCCCGUAAUUGUUGGCAAC
rfam:Enterobius vermicularis genome assembly, scaffold: EVEC_scaffold0005868